GGAGAAGAACGAGGAAUCGCUGCCCCAGUUUAUUGGGGGAGAGGAAAGUCCGAACUCCCAAACAUAGAGCUUUUCUAUGUUUAGCAAGGUAGUGGGUAAUACCCAUCGUCCUGUGUUAUAUAAAUCAUGGGAUAGAGGUGCGAACAGAGACGCCUGAACUGAAAGGUUAAGGGUCCCCAACGGGGAUAGCCCUCUCCGGAAACCUGCGGGUUUUGAGCAAGGGGAGGGGUGAAACGGCUAAAUCCUUACCCGGGAGCAAGACCAAAAGUGGUAGGUUGCUAAAGUCUGAUGGUGACAUCAGACGUAGAUACAUGAUUCCAUAAAACAGGAUUCGGCUUACAGUUCUUCUCCUUUU
rnacentral:RNase_P_RNA from 4 species